AUGGAUAUGGAGCACGGAACACACAAAAAAAAGUUAUACUUGUUACUCAUGGAGAUGGCGAACUUCCUAAAACCCUCGAUAUUGGUUAUGUGCAGAACAUUAAAUAUUACUUUAAUAAUUCUAAUAAAUCCAAAUCAACUUGAUAAUGAAAACACUUUGGAUCGGCGUGAAUACUUUAAGGAUUAUCGCUUGACUCAAAAAGAGAAACAAUUAUGGGAUCAAAUAAAAUUAUUAUGUUGCUAUGCUUGGAAUAUGUGUUGUAUUUAUGAUUUUACUUGUUGCUCUAGGAUGAAGAUUACAUACAUUCCCGCCUCUUAUGUUAAUGGUGUUUAUAAUUACUAUUAUAUUGAACAAAUAGAGAAUUUGUUAAUUUUAAGGAUGCUUAUAAAAUUGCUUAUUUGCUUGAAAAGUAUGAUGAUGUUCUCUACAAAUCUAAAAAUCUUACCAUGCUGA
rnacentral:rRNA from 1 species